rnacentral:rRNA from 1 species
UACGUAGGCAGCAAGCGUUGUUCGGAGUUACUGGGCGUAAAGGGUGCGUAGGCGGCUUUUUAAGUCUGGUGUGAAAUCUCCAGGCUCAACUGGGAGGGUGCGCCGGAUACUGAGGGGCUAGAGUGUGGGAGAGGAAAGUGGAAUUCCUGGUGUAGCGGUGAAAUGCGUAGAUAUCGGGAGGAACAUCGAUGGCGAAGGCAAUCACCUGGGCCUGAACUGACACUGAGACACGAAAGCGUGGGUAGCAAACAGG